UUCCCAUUUUCCAUGUUGCCCCAAAAAAACUUUUCCCUUGAAUUGCUUUAUUUUUAAUGAGUUUUUUUCGUUCGAUUUUCCUAAUUCUAUUUCUUUGAGUGUUUUGGCUCAAUUAUUUUUAUGAGUGUAGCAGACUAGCUAGAGAGGGCCAAGGAGGUCGGGCGCGUGGGGCAGCCGUCGAUGAUGACACUGAAAGACGCGCUGCUUUUGCUUUGAGCUAGCCCUAGCCCCGCCCCUGCCCCUGUCCCCGCCUCUGCCCCUGCUCACCACCCGUCCCACCGCAUGUUAUCGUUAAUCGAUGGUCGCCCAUCAACAAAACUGAAAGCAAACAAGCAACAGGAGACGCUUUUGGGGUUGGCUGCGCUGUCAACGUUGCCGUUGCGGUCGACGUCGACUUUGAACAAAUAUAUAAAUAUAUAUAUUAUCAGCAGCAGCAGCAGCAGCGGCAGCAGCAGCAGCAGAAGCAACAGCGCAGCAGAGGCGAGCGUGCUGUGGCGACUCCUAAACAGCAUGACACUUGUAGUCACAAGUAGGCAGCUUGGCGCACUAGUCGCAUAACUGUAAUUCACACCUGGACACUGGCCGCACGUAUCCUGUGCUCAAUAGGAAGAAGCCUGUUCGCUAGGCACUUCUCUCCAGCUGCUGCUGCUGCUACGGCUGCGUGCGUCGCUCUCAAGGUCGCGCGUCGUCGUCGUCGUCGUCGCGUCGCGUCGGUCUAAUAAAAUAAUUCAAUUAAAAAUAAGCAAAAUACGUCGCAGCCAAAAACAUAUAGCUAUAUCGGAUAUAUAUAUACAAUAUAUAUAAAAUUUGUUUAAAAUGCUGGCGGCCCAAGAGAAUCGUUUUCAAUAUGUUUACUUUACGCUCUCCGGCUUGGUCGCCUGCAUCAUGCUCAUUCUCUUCUAUAUCUCAAUGCGCACAACCAUUAAUGAACGCCUGCGCGAUGAUCUCAAGCAGAUGCAGCGCCAAUUGCUCUACCCAAAGCCCAAUCCGCACUGGAACUACAACAACAGCUGGCGGCGCAUUGGCAAUGCCUCGCUACGGCAUGAAAUAUACUCGGCAUAUUUCGAUGCACGCACGGAUAUAGUGGGCCGCGUUCGCCUGGAUGAGGAGAUCACCAUUGGUUCGCUGCGAGUUUUCGCCAUUCUGCCAGAGCGACUGCGCGACUCGCAGAUCAGCUGCAUCGUGCGCUUCGCGGACUUCAGCAGCUAUGAGAUUGUGGCCGAGGAGGCGGGCGCCAUGCACGACGUGCACAACAACAGCUUCGCCGCCUGGAGCAUCAUGUGUCCGUUGCACGUGGCCAAGAGCUCGCCCGUGCAGCUGCCGCAGGCCGUGGCACUGAGCUACGCCUCCAAUCGGCUGAGUCAUCUCAGUCCCAGCUACGUGCAGAUCAGCUAUCCGCGGAACAUGUCCGAGCUGUUUGCCAAGUCGCGUGCCACGAUUUCCGUGUGCGUCGGACCCAUCCAGGAGAACUACUCAAAUGUGCUGCGCCUGGUCGAGUUCGUGGAGAUGUAUCGGCUGCAGGGCGCGACGCACUUCUACUUCUACUACGUGGAGGCCAGCGAGGAGGUGCGUCGCGUGCUGGAGCACUAUCGGCUGCGGGGCCUGGCCGAUGUCUUCGAGUGGAACGUGCAGUCGCAUCUGCAGGAUCUGCACUACGCCGGGAUUGUGGCGCAGUUCAACGACUGCGUCUAUCGCGCCAAUGUCGUGGACAACUAUCGCUAUGCGGCAGUCGUUGACCUGGACGAGGUGCUGAUGCCCCUCAAGCACAACUCCCUGGCGGACUAUCUGCGUCAGUGCGACGAGGGGCGCAGCUCGGGCUUCGUCUUUCGCAACGUGUUCUUCUACCGCAAGGACAGCAACGACACCUUCAAUGCGCCCGCCCACGUCAUGAACCGGCUGCUCUACACCCAGUCGAAGGUGCGCCGCACCCUGGAGGUGCUGCCCGCCUACAUCAGGAGCAAAGUCGUCGUCAACACGCGCGGCAUUGUCGAGAUGGGCAACCACCAGGUGUACCGCUCCGCGCCGGGCUACGUCGAUCACAUCGUGCACCAGACGGUCGGGCUGCUCUUCCACUAUCGCGACAAGUGCAUCAACUGCAAAAUGGUGCUCAUUGUGGACUAUACGGCGCGGCGCUUUGGCUCGCUGCUCUUCGAUCGCGUCGACGCCACAUGCCUCGAGGUCUUCAUGGAGCGAAAUGGCAUCUGCCAGCUGGCGUAGCCCCAACUGUGCCUUAUCACCAAUUGCCGUUAACGCCCCCAAUGGAAGAGCGCCGAGUGUUGAGUGCUGCGAAUCAGCGGAGCGCAGCUGAUGUCCAGUCUGGAGUCAACUCUUGCAGUCGCAACAUGCUUAAGUUCUGUUCGCUGCGUCGCGGGCAAUCGAAGCCGACGUCGACGUCGCCAGCGGCGCCGCCUCUGCCCGCCAAACGUGUGUCCAAAAGUUCGUCGCUGCGCCUGCAGGAUGUCGCCUUGAGCGAUGCGCAGCUGUUAAGUGUGCUCAAGGCGCAGCGUGCGCGCGGCCCUUUAAUAUUGGCGCUCAGCAGUGCACAAACAACAGCAACGAAAAUUGUGGAACCGGAAACGGAAGUGGCGUCUUGCCAGCAUUGUGGCACGCCAUAUUCGACUCGCAAAACUCAAGCAGAGCAAAAUGGCAGCACAGCAACAC